UACGUAGGGUGCAAGCGUUGUCCGGAAUUAUUGGGCGUAAAGAGCUCGUAGGCGGUCUGUUGCGUCGGCUGUGAAAACCCGGGGCUCAACUCCGGGCCUGCAGCCGAUACGGGCAGACUAGAGUUCGGCAGGGGAGACUGGAAUUCCUGGUGUAGCGGUGAAAUGCGCAGAUAUCAGGAGGAACACCGGUGGCGAAGGCGGGUCUCUGGGCAGAUACUGACACUGAGGUGCGAAAGCGUGGGGAGCAAACAGG
rnacentral:rRNA from 1 species